GAGCAACCUGCCUUUCAGAGGGGGAUAACGUUUGGAAACGAACGCUAAUACCGCAUAACAUACCGGGACCGCAUGAUUCUGGUAUCAAAGGAGCAAUCCGCUGAAAGAUGGGCUCGCGUCCGAUUAGCUAGUUGGCGGGGUAACGGCCCACCAAGGCGACGAUCGGUAGCCGGACUGAGAGGUUGAUCGGCCACAUUGGGACUGAGACACGGCCCAGACUCCUACGGGAGGCAGCAGUGGGGGAUAUUGCACAAUGGAGGAAACUCUGAUGCAGCGACGCCGCGUGAGGGAAGACGGUCUUCGGAUUGUAAACCUCUGUCUUUGGGGACGAUAAUGACGGUACCCAAGGAGGAAGCUCCGGCUAACUACGUGCCAGCAGCCGCGGUAAUACGUAGGGAGCGAGCGUUGUCCGGAAUUACUGGGUGU
rnacentral:rRNA from 1 species